GUGCUCGCUUCGACAGCACACAUACUAAAAUUUGAAUGAUACAGAGAAGAUUGGUCCCUGUGUGAGGAUACAUAAAAAACAACAAGAAGAAAAAAACGGCCCU